AGGUUAAGUCAAGUGAGAACGAUGAGA
rnacentral:piRNA from 1 species